GAAAUGCGAUAAGUAAUGUGAAUUGCAGAAUUCAGUGAAUCAUCGAAUCUUUGAACGCACAUUGCGCCUAUUAGUAUUCUAGUAGGCAUGCCUGUUCGAGCGUCAUUUCAACCAUCAAGCCCCCCGGCUUGUGUUGGGGACCUGCGGCUGCCGCAGGCCCUGAAAAGCAGUGGCGGGCUCGCUGUCACACCGAGCGUAGUAGCAUACAUCUCGCUCUGGGCGUGCUGCGGGUUCCGGCCGUUAAACCACCUUCGUAACCCAAGGUUGACCUCGGAUCAGGUAGGAAGACCCGCUGAACUUAAGC
rnacentral:misc_RNA from 1 species